rnacentral:rRNA from 1 species
UAAGGUUAAGUUAAUAAGGGCGCACGGUGGAUGCCUUGGCACUAGAAGCCGAAGAAGGACGUGACUAACGACGAAAUGCUUUGGGGAGCUGUAAGUAAGCGCUGAUCCAGAGAUGUCCGAAUGGGGGAACCCACUAGUUAAUGACUAGUAUCCAUAUCUGUUAAGGAUAUGAGAAGGAAGACGCAGUGAACUGAAACAUCUAAGUAGCUGCAGGAAGAGAAAGCAAAAGCGAUUGCCUUAGUAGCGGCGAGCGAAACGGCAGGAGGGCAAACCGAAGUGUUUACACUUCGGGGUUGUAGGACUGCGAUAUAGGAUUAAUCAUUAUAGAAGAAUUACCUGGGAAGGUAAGCCAAAGAGAGUAACAGCCUCGUAUUUAAAAUGAUAGAUUAACCUUAGCAGUAUCCUGAGUACGGCGAGACACGCGAAAUCUCGUCGGAAUCUGGGAGGACCAUCUCCCAACCCUAAAUACUCUCUAGUGACCGAUAGUGAACCAGUACCGUGAGGGAAAGGUGAAAAGCACCCCGGGAGGGGAGUGAAAUAGAACCUGAAACCGUGUGCCUACAACAAGUUCGAGCCCGUUAAUGGGUGAGAGCGUGCCUUUUGUAGAAUGAACCGGCGAGUUACGAUAUGAUGCGAGGUUAAGUUGAAGAGACGGAGCCGUAGGGAAACCGAGUCUUAAUAGGGCGUCAUAGUAUCAUGUUGUAGACCCGAAACCAUGUGACCUACCCAUGAGCAGGUUGAAGGUGAGGUAAAACUCACUGGAGGACCGAACCAGGGCACGUUGAAAAGUGCUUGGAUGACUUGUGGGUAGCGGAGAAAUUCCAAACGAACUUGGAGAUAGCUGGUUCUCUCCGAAAUAGCUUUAGGGCUAGCGUCGAUGUUAAGUCUCUUGGAGGUAGAGCACUGUUUGGGUGAGGGGUCCAUCCCGGAUUACCAAUCUCAGAUAAACUCCGAAUGCCAACGAGAUAUAAUCGGCAGUCAGACUGCGAGUGCUAAGAUCCGUAGUCGAAAGGGAAACAGCCCAGACCACCAGCUAAGGUCCCAAAAUAUAUGUUAAGUGGAAAAGGAUGUGGGGUUGCACAGACAACUAGGAUGUUAGCUUAGAAGCAGCUAUUCAUUCAAAGAGUGCGUAAUAGCUCACUAGUCGAGUGACCCUGCGCCGAAAAUGUACCGGGGCUAAAACAUAUUACCGAAGCUGUGGAUGACACAAAAGUGUCAUGGUAGGAGAGCGUUCUAUGUGUGAAGAAGGUGUACCGUGAGGAGCGCUGGAACGCAUAGAAGUGAGAAUGCCGGUAUGAGUAGCGCAAGACAGGUGAGAAUCCUGUCCACCGUAAGACUAAGGUUUCCAGGGGAAGGCUCGUCCGCCCUGGGUUAGUCGGGACCUAAGGAGAGACCGAAAGGUGUAUCCGAUGGACAACAGGUUGAUAUUCCUGUACUAGAGUAUAUAGUGAUGGAGGGACGCAGUAGGCUAACUAAACCAGACGAUUGGAAGUGUCUGGUCAAACAGUGAGGUGUGAUAUGAGUCAAAUGCUUAUAUCUUUAACAUUGAGCUGUGACGAGGAGCGAAGUUUAGUAGCGAAGUUAGUGAUGUCACACUGCCAAGAAAAGCUUCUAGCGAUACAUAUACUCUACCCGUACCGCAAACCGACACAGGUAGUCGAGGCGAGUAGCCUCAGGUGAGCGAGAGAACUCUCGUUAAGGAACUCGGCAAAAUGGCCCCGUAACUUCGGGAGAAGGGGCGCUGAUUU